rnacentral:rRNA from 1 species
UACGUAGGUGGCGAGCGUUGUCCGGAUUUACUGGGCGUAAAGAGCGCGCAGGCGGUCGUACAAGUCGCGUGUGAAAGCCCCCGGCUCAACUGGGGAGGGUCACGCGAUACUGUUCGACUCGAAGGCAGGAGAGGGUAGUGGAAUUCCCGGUGUAGUGGUGAAAUGCGUAGAUAUCGGGAGGAACACCAGUGGCGAAGGCGACUACCUGGCCUGUUCUUGACGCUGAGACGCGAAAGCGUGGGGAGCAAACAGG